rnacentral:rRNA from 1 species
GACGAACGCUGGCGGCGUGCCUAAUACAUGCAAGUAGAACGCUGAAGAGAGGAGCUUACUCUUCUUGGAUGAGUUGCGAACGGGUGAGUAACGCGUAGGUAACCUGCCUUGUAGCGGGGGAUAACUAUUGGAAACGAUAGCUAAUACCGCAUAACAAUGGCUGACACAUGUCAUUUAUUUGAAAGGGGCAAUUGCUCCACUACAAGAUGGACCUGCGUUGUAUUAGCUAGUAGGUGAGGUAAUGGCUCACCUAGGCGACGAUACAUAGCCGACCUGAGAGGGUGAUCGGGCACACUGGGACUGAGACACGGCCCAGACUCCUACGGGAGGCAGCAGUAGGGAAUCUUCGGCAAUGGGGGCAACCCUGACCGAGCAACGCCGCGUGAGUGAAGAAGGGUUUCGGGUCGUAAAGCUCUGUUGUAAGUCAAGAACGGGUGUGAGAGUGGAAAGUUCACACUGUGACGGUAGCUUACCAGAAAGGGACGGCUAACUACGUG